rnacentral:rRNA from 1 species
AGUGAACGCUGGCGGUAGGCCUAACACAUGCAAGUCGAACGGCAGCACAGUAAGAGCUUGCUCUUACGGGUGGCGAGUGGCGGACGGGUGAGGAAUACAUCGGAAUCUACUUUUUCGUGGGGGAUAACGUGGGGAAACUUACGCUAAUACCGCAUACGACCUACGGGUGAAAGCAGGGGAUCUUCGGACCUUGCGCGAUUGAAUGAGCCGAUGUCGGAUUAGCUAGUUGGCGGGGUAAAGGCCCACCAAGGCGACGAUCCGUAGCUGGUCUGAGAGGAUGAUCAGCCACACUGGAACUGAGACACGGUCCAGACUCCUACGGGAGGCAGCAGUGGGGAAUAUUGGACAAUGGGCGCAAGCCUGAUCCAGCCAUACCGCGUGGGUGAAGAAGGCCUUCGGGUUGUAAAGCCCUUUUGUUGGGAAAGAAAAGCAGCAGGUUAAUACCCCGCUGUUCCGACGGUACCCAAAGAAUAAGCACCGGCUAACUUCGUG